rnacentral:rRNA from 1 species
CUCACUCUCGCUUGCUCCCCGAUAAAAGAGGUUUACAACCCGAAGGCCUCCAUCCCUCACGCGGCGUCGCUGCAUCAGGCUUGCGCCCAUUGUGCAAUAUUCCCCACUGCUGCCUCCCGUAGGAGU